rnacentral:tRNA from 1 species
GGGGGUGUAGCUCAUAUGGUAGAGUGCUUGCUUCGCAUGUGAGAGGCACAGGGUUCAAUUCCCUGCACCUCCA